rnacentral:rRNA from 1 species
UGUGUAGGUGGCAAGAUAAGUUAGAUGUGAAAUCCUCGGGCUUAACCUAAGAAUUGCGUUUAAUACUGUCUGGCUAGAGUACUGCAGAGGGCAGUGGAAUUUCCAGUGUAGCGGUGAAAUGCGUAGAUAUUGGAAGGAACAUCAGUGGCGAAGGCGACUGCCUGGAUAGAUACUGACACUGAGACACGAAAGCGUGGGUAGCAAACAGGAUUAGAUACCCUGGUAGUCCACGCUGUAAACGAUGAGAACUUGCUGUUGGGUGCAUGAAAGCACUUAGUAGCGGAGCUAACGCGUUAAGUUCUCCGCCUGGGGAGUACGGCCGCAAGGUUAAA